rnacentral:rRNA from 1 species
AUGAGUUAUGAUCACUCGCCCACGAUGUCGGCGAGGCUUAAUACAACCAAGUCCAGCGGGCAGCACCGGGUAGCAAUACCUAUGAGACCGGCGCACGGGUGCGUAACGGCGUAUGUAAUCUACCAUUAACCCGGGGAAUAGCCCAGAGAAAUCUGGAUUAAUGCCCCAUAGUAUUAUCGUAAGGCAUCUUUAGAUAGUUAAAGCUCCGGAGUAUUCUGAUGAACAUGCGUAUCAUUAGUUUGUUGGUGAGGUAACGGCUCACCAAGACUACGAUGACUAGCCGUCUGAGAGGAUCAUCUCCCACGCUGGUACUGAGACACGGACCAGACUCAAACGGGAGGCAGCAGUAAGGAAUAUUGGUCAAUGGACGCAAGUCUGAACCAGGCAUGCCGCGUGCAGGAAGACGGCCUUAUGGGUUGUAAACUGCUUGUCAGGGAAUAAACCCCACGAUGCGUCGUGGGCUGAAGGUACCUGAAGAAUAAGCACCGGCUAACUCCGUGCCAGCAGAUGCGGUAAUACGGAGGGUGCAAGCGUUAUCCGGAUUCAUUGGGUUUAAUAGGGUGCGCAGGCGGGUUUGUCAGUCAGUGGUGAAAUCCUACGGCUUAAGACUCACUGCCAUUGAUACUGCAAGUCUUGAGUAUAGUUGAAGUGGCUGCGGAAUGUAGCAUGUAGCGGUGAAAUGCAUAGAUAUGCUACAGAACACCAAUUGCGAAGGCAGCUCACUAAGUUAUAACUGACGCUCAUGCACAGAAAGCGUGGCCGGAUCAAACAGGAUUAGAUACCCUGGUAGUCCACGCUGUAAACGAUGAUCACUCGUUGUUGGCGAUUAACACAGUCAGCGACCAAGCGAAAGUGAUAACAGUGAUCCACCUGGGGAGUACGAUCGCAAGGUUCAAACUCAAAGGUAUUGACGCGCGCACAAGCGGUGGAGCAUGUGGUUAUUCGAUGAUACGUGAGGAAUCCCUUACCUGGACUCAAACGUAGUAUGACAGUCGCGGUAACGUGAUCUAGGACGGCCAUAUUAACGAGGUGCUGCCAUGGUUGUCGUCAGCUCGUGCCGUGAGGUGUCGGUGUUAAGUCCCAUAACGAGCGCAACUAAUCUUUAGUUGCCAUCAGGUCAAGCUGGGGACUCUAGAGAAACUGCCUACGCAAGUAGUGAGUGGGGAUGACGUCAAAUCAGCACGGCCCUUACGUCCAGGGCUACACACGUGCUACAAUGGCCAGUACAAAGGGCAGCUACUGGGUGACCAGAUGCUAAUCUCUAAAGCCGGUCUCAGUUCGGAUCGAAGUCUGCAACCCGACUUCGUGAAGCUGGAAUCGCUAGUAAUCGCGCAUCAGCCAUGGCGCACUAAUACGUUCCCGGUCCUUGAACACACCGACCGUCAAGCCAUGGCAGCUGGGGGUACCUGAAGUCGGUGACCGUAAUAGGAACUGCCUAGGGUAAACUUGGUAAAUGGGGCUAAGUCGUAACAAGGUAACACG